ACCAAGCUGGAGGCGGCCAGGACGAAAGAAGCCGGCCGCGCCCCUUAAACACAUACAGGUGUCCACCUCGCCCUCCUCCUCCUCCUCCCCGUGGGGGCCUCCACCCAGUCCGGGAACCCAGGACAAUGAAGGAGGCAAACGAAAGCGAGGAGAGACAGGAGUCCCACAACCACCACCCCCUACAAGUGCACAGACAGGUUACAGGUAGGACCGAAACGCAGCCCGAGUUCCGGUCCCCCCAAGCCUGGGAGAUGUGGAUCCAGAACCCCAGCUUCCGCCGUCUGACCCCAAGGGCCACAUGGGAACCUCUGCCUGCAACUCGUAACCUGAGCAAGGACUGACCCUUCUUCAAGUCUCAGCUUGCUUUCCUGUGAAAUGGCUCCCUGCUAUGGCACCUGGGAAAGCAGCGGAAGAUGGCCCAAGUGCUUGGGCCCUGGCCACCCACGUGGGAGACCCGGAUGGAGCUCCUGGCUCCUGGCUUUGGAUCAGUGCAGCUCCAGCCAUUGCGGCCAUCUGGGGAGGGAACCAACGGAUGGAAGAUAUCUCUCUCUCUCUCUCUCUCUCUCUCUCUCUCCCUUGCAAAUAAAUAAAUCUGACAUUGGAGUGGACUGGGUUCUGUUUCCGGCUCCAGCUUCCUGUUCAUGGGCACCGUGGGAAAGCAGCAGGUGCCGGCUCAAGUGCUUGGGUCCCUGCCACUCAUAGGGGAGACCCGGAUGGAGCUCCCACAUCCUGGAUUCGGCCUGGCCCAGCCCUGGCUGUUGCAAGCAUUUCAGGAGUGACCCAGUGGGUGGGAGAUUUCUCUUGUCUCUGUCCUCUGGUUCACUCCCCAGAUGGCCACAAGGGCCAGGAGCCAGCAACUCCAUCCUGGUCUCCCACGUGGGUGGCAGGGGCCCAAGCCCUUGGGCUGUCACCUGCUGCUCCCAGGUGCACUAGCAGGGAGCUGGAUGGGAAGUGGAGCAGCAGGAACUCAAAUUCUCUCUCGGGUAUGGAUGCUGGCACUGCAGGCAGCGGCUUUACCUGCUACGCCACAGUGCCUACCCCAGGUAUAGGGUUUAAUAGCUGGGCACCUCCCCUUGGCCCUGGGGUGGGGGUGGGGGAGUGUCCUCUCAGGCUUGGGACCCCUGGCAGGCAAGGGCCCUUCUCAGCAGAUCAAGGUCAGAAUUGCACAGUGUGACUGGGGCUGAGACCAGCAAAGCACGGAGCCCUAGAGGGGGCCUUGCCCCAACAUGUAGAAUGAGAGAUCUUUUGUUUUAAAAGGUCUAUUAGGCCGGCGCCACGGCUCACUAGGCUAAUCCUCCACCUAGCGGCGCCGGCACACCAGGUUCUAGUCCCGGUUGGGGCGCCGGAUUCUGUCCUGGUUGCCCCUCUUCCAGGCCAGCUCUCUGCUGUGGCCCGGGAGUGCAGUGGAGGAUGGCCCAAGUGCUUGGGCCCUGCACCCCAUGGGAGACCAGGAUAAGCACCUGGCUCCUGGCUUCGGAUCAGCCGGCCGUAGCGCACCAGCCGUGGCGGCCAUUGGAGAGUGAACCAACGGCAAAAGGAAGACCUUUCUCUCUGUCUCUCUCUCUCACUGUCCACUCUGCCUGUCAAAAAAAAAAAAAAAAAAAAAAAAAAAAAAAAAAGGUCUAUUUAUCUAUUUAUUUGACAGGCAGAAAGAUAGAGACAGGGAGAGACAGAGACAAAGACAGAGAUCUCCCAUCGGCUGGUUCACUCCCCAAAUGCCCACACAGCCAGAGCUUGGGCCGGGAGCCUGGAACUCCAUCCGGGUCUCCCACGUGGGUAGCGGGCACCCAAGCACUUGGACCAUCUUCCACUGCUUUCCCAGGCAGCAUUAGCAGGGAGCUGGAUCGGAAGUGGAGCAGCCGGGACUAGAACCAGUGCUUGCAUACGGGGUGUGCAUGCCCCAAGUGGCAGCUCCACCAGCUGCUCCUCUGGGCAGUCUGCUGGGAAAGACGCUGCUGGCCCUUUAAGAACAGGUGUAGGGAGGCCCCAAAUCCCAUCUCCGAGCACCUGCCCUGGAGUCCCCCUCUGGCUCCCAAUCCAAGCUUCCUAUAGGCACACACCCUUGGAGGCAGCAGAGAUGGCCCAAGGACUUGGGUCCCUGCUACCCAUGUGGAAGACCCGGAUGAAACUCCUGGCUCCUGGCCUUGAUCUGGCCCACCCCCACCCCCACCCGCCAUUCACUGUUGCAGCUAUCUGGGGGUGAACACACAGCAGAUGUGUGUGUCUCUCCCUCUCUGUAACCUUGCCUUCCAAAUAAAUAAGAUAAAUACACCAUCAAAUGAAUUUUUUUAAUGACUGGGUUUUAUUUAUUUAUUUUACUUCUGUGUAGUAUUCAAUAGAGUACAUAGCCCAUAAUUUCUUUUCUUUUUU